AACGAACGCUGGCGGCAUGCCUAACACGUGCAAGUCGAACGAUCCCUUCGGGGAUAGUGGCGCACGGGUGCGUAACGCGUGGGAACCUGCCCUUAGGUUCGGAAUAACUCAGAGAAAUUUGAGCUAAUACCGGAUAAUGUCUUCGGACCAAAGAUUUAUCGCCUUUGGAUGGGCCCGCGUUGGAUUAGCUAGUUGGUGGGGUAAAGGCCUACCAAGGCGACGAUCCAUAGCUGGUCUGAGAGGAUGAUCAGCCACACUGGGACUGAGACACGGCCCAGACUCCUACGGGAGGCAGCAGUGGGGAAUAUUGGACAAUGGGCGAAAGCCUGAUCCAGCAAUGCCGCGUGAGUGAUGAAGGCCUUAGGGUUGUAAAGCUCUUUUACCCGGGAUGAUAAUGACAGUACCGGGAGAAUAAGCCCCGGCGAACUCCGU
rnacentral:rRNA from 1 species